UCUCUGAUUUCUACUGACCUG
rnacentral:siRNA from 1 species